UACGUAGGGGGCAAGCGUUGUCCGGAUUUAUUGGGCGUAAAGAGCGUGUAGGCGGCUCGGUAAGUCUGCUGUGAAAGUCGGGGGCUCAACCCUCGGAUGCCGGUGGAUACUGUCGGGCUUGAGUACGGAAGAGGCGAGUGGAAUUCCUGGUGUAGCGGUGAAAUGCGCAGAUAUCAGGAGGAACACCAAUUGCGAAGGCAGCUCGCUGGGACGUUACUGACGCUGAGACGCGAAAGCGUGGGGAGCAAACAGG
rnacentral:rRNA from 1 species